GAUGAACGCUGGCGGCGUGCCUAACACAUGCAAGUCGAACGGAGUUUAGCGCUGAUGAAGCUUCGGCAGAUUCUUGUUAAACUUAGUGGCGGACGGGUGAGUAACGCGUGGGUAACCUGCCUCAUACAGGGGGAUAGCAGUUGGAAACGACUGAUAACACCGCAUAAGCGCACGGUAUCGCAUGAUACAGUGUGAAAAUAUUUAUAGGUAUGAGAUGGACCCGCGUCUGAUUAGCUAGUUGGUGAGGUAACGGCCCACCAAGGCGACGAUCAGUAGCCGGCCUGAGAGGGCGGACGGCCACAUUGGGACUGAGACACGGCCCAAACUCCUACGGGAGGCAGCAGUGGGGGAUAUUGCACAAUGGGCGAAAGCCUGAUGCAGCGACGCCGCGUGAGUGAAGAAGUAUUUCGGUAUGUAAAGCUCUAUCAGCAGGGAAGAAAGACCUCGUAAGAGGGGAUGACGUAC
rnacentral:rRNA from 1 species